UGCCCAUCUUUGGAUGGUCGCCUCGCCCUCGGAAGAGGCCUGGAGGUUCGAUGCGGAAAUUUCCGAUCCUCUCUCUGUGGUUGUCCAUGAUGCAGUACCCAUACGCCUGCACGACCCUUUCGUUCUCCUCUUUGAUUUUCUGCGAAUAUUUUUUUAACAUGACGCUCAUUAUUCUGUGCUUCGCGUCUGGUGGACUGUGCAUUGACGCAGGCCUACUGUACUUGUUUCUCCGCUUUUGACAUCAGCCUGCGUGCUUCGGCCUGGGCCUUGAAGUACUCGUGCAUCUGGCUAAAGUCACACUUGUUCAGUCCGCUCCUUGGGUUCACUGGAACAGACACCGCAAAGGCCGUGAUGAUCUCUUCCUAGCACCGCUUUCUGCUACUGGCUCUUCCUCCACCUCCUUCUCUGCUCGGGAGCUGCGUCUACUCGGCCCCUUGGGUUUCUCCACAGCAGCCCUGGGAAUAGCAGAAAGAAGAGCGAACGAACGAGAGAGAGAAGACAAUAAAAUACAGCAUUAUUAAAGAGCGGGUGAGUUAAACUGCACUACUCAGGAAGAUAAAAUACCGCGCAGGACUCUGCUGUUUUUCCUCAUCUACCACAGAUACUGUCCAUCUUCAUCCCGUACAGCUCCACUACAUCAACAUGACCACUGCUUGUGUCUUUGCAGCGCAAACAUGUUCAAAUACAUACCUUGGAACUAAGUUGAUGGGCGUCUUUCUUUUCUUUGCCCAUCUGUGAUACAAGUGGAAAAACAGCUGUAAACUAUCAACUGUGCUGAACAAACAUGGCUUCACUUCCAAACCAUAUUAAUACAAUCCCCAGAAAAGAGAUGAGGCCAUGAAAGUCAGCGGAGUUGUACAACUCCUUUGGAGAUACCCUGCAAUUUGGUUCAA